rnacentral:rRNA from 1 species
AUUGAACGCUGGCGGCAUGCUUUACACAUGCAAGUCGAACGGCAGCGCGGGGGCAACCCUGGCGGCGAGUGGCGAACGGGUGAGUAAUAUAUCGGAACGUACCCAGAAGUGGGGGAUAACGUAGCGAAAGUUACGCUAAUACCGCAUACGAUCUACGGAUGAAAGUGGGGGGACCUUCGGGCCUCAUGCUUUUGGAGCGGGCCGAUAUCUGAUUAGCUAGUUGGUGAGGUAAAGGCUCACCAAGGCGACGAUCAGUAGCUGGUCUGAGAGGACGACCAGCCACACUGGAACUGAGACACGGUCCAGACUCCUACGGGAGGCAGCAGUGGGGGAAUUUUGGACAAUGGGGGGCAACCCGUGAUCCAGCAAUGCCGCGUGAGUGAAGAAGGCCUUC